CGCCAGGAAGCUAAAAUAGGUGUAAGCAUUAGCCUUUUAAGCUAAAAACUGGUGGCUCCUAACCACCCCCCGCGA
rnacentral:tRNA from 1 species